GCUGACGCUAGUGAUGAACACGACGAAGACGGUGAGCCCAAUAACUAGGGUUUCAAAAUCUUUAACCGAUACAAAGCUCAAUUGAUUUGUGUGGUGUGUUGAACUUGCUCUUUUCGAGUAUUUUGCUGGAGAGAAAGAAAGUGUUUUGCAAGUAAGUUCAUGUUUUGCAAAAGGUGCAAUGGUGCUUAUCAUUGUUCGGUCUGCAACCUCCUCAUAAGUUCAAUUUUGAAAUGCUAGAGUGGGAGGGCAAGGAUUUCUUAAAAGAUGUUCUGUAUCCAAUCUAAGGCCUAUAAACGUGAAGGUUGAAUAUUUCAUUUUUCAGGUGUUUCUGCUGUAGUCCAGGGAGAAAAUAAUGACAACUGCAAGGAAAGAGAAAAAGAGAGAGAGGCUCGAAGAGAAGAGAAGCCUAAGAAAGCAACUUUGUUGGAAAAGCUUGAAGAUGGGGAUUCUAUUGCUACAAGCAUGCUGCAGGGCUCUCAAAUUAAUAAUGAAAAAGAAGCUGGUUUAAUAACUAAUUCCAUUAAUAGUGUCACUCAACUGAAGGAGAGGUUGUCAAGUCAUAAUCCAUACAGAGGCAAGUCUGACUCCGUUAGGUUUGUUGAGUAUUGGGUUCCUAUACAAAUAUCUAAUAUGCAGCUUGAACAAUAUUGUUCUAUUUUACUGUCAAAUGCUUCUAUUCUGCGCUCCUCAUCAAAGGUUGAUAACAUUGAGGCUGUUCGUGAUGUUCUUAUAUUAACUCGGAAGUGUUGUAGUCAUCCCUAACAAGGGUCUCGAACCGUCUCAGUAUCUUGAUUUUGAUUUAAAAGCAAGUGGCAAGUUGCAACUUCUUGAUUCAAUGCUUGAGGAGUUGAGAAAAAGUGAUUUAAGGGUGCUCAUUCUUUUUCAGCAAUAUGAUAAAAAAUCUGGACAAGAAAAGAACAGAAUUGGCUUUGUACAUUUUGCAGAGAGGUCCAAUGCUAUGAAAGCACUGAAAGAUAUGAAUUAGAAGGUAAAGUUUUAGAGUGCUCUUUGGCAAAGCCACGGUCUGAUCAAAAGUCUGGAGGGUCAAACACACAGAAGUCAGGACCAGGAUUGCUUGCAAGUUAUCCACAACAUGUC